rnacentral:rRNA from 1 species
CCAAAAAGUAGCGAAGCACACAGACCAUCUGUCGAGAAAAGCCGCUAUUGUGUAUACCGUACCCGUACCGUAAACCGACACAGGUGGAUGAGGAGAGAAUCCUAAGGCCGGCGGGAGAAGCAUUGUUAAGGAACUCGGCAAAAUGACCCCGUAACUUCGGGAGAAGGGGUGCUCGCGCAAGUGAGCCGCAGAGAACUGGCCCAAGCAACUGUUUAGCAAAAACACAGGUCUAUGCAAAACCGAAAGGUGAGGUAUAUGGGCUGACGCCUGCCCGGUGCUGGAAGGUUAAGAGGAGAUGUUAGAGCAAUCGAAGCAUUGAAUUUAAGCCCCAGUAAACGGCGGCCGUAACAAUAACGGUCCUAAGGUAGCGAAAUUCCUUGUCGGGUAAGUUCCGACCCGCACGAAAGGCGUAAUGAUUUGGGCACUGUCUCGACAAUGCACCCGGUGAAAUUGAAAUACCAGUGAAGAUGCUGGUUACCUGCGCCAGGACGGAAAGACCCCAUGGAGCUUUACUCUAGCUUGAUACUGGGAUUCGGUAUUGCAUGUACAGGAUAGGUGGGAGACUAAGAGGUGAUGACGCCAGUUGUCACGGAGUCGAUGUUGGGAUACCACCCCUGCAGUACUGGGUUUCUAACCUGCGGCCGUGACCCGGCCGGGGGACAAUGUCUGGUGGGGAGUUUGACUGGGGCGGUCGCCUCCGAAAGGGUAUCGGAGGCGCUCAAAGGUUCCCUCAGAAUGGUUGGAAACCAUUCGAAGAGUGCAAAGGCAGAAGGGAGCUUGACUGCGACACCGACGGGUGGAGCAGGUACGAAAGUAGGACUUAGUGAUCCGGUGGUAUGAAAGUGGGAUUGCCAUCGCUCAACGGAUAAAAGCUACCCUGGGAUAACAGGCUUAUCACUCCCAAGAGUUCACAUCGACGGAGUGGUUUGGCACCUCGAUGUCGGCUCAUCGCAUCCUGGGGCUGUAGUAGGUCCCAAGGGUUGGGCUGUUCGCCCAUUAAAGCGGUACGCGAGCUGGGUUCAGAACGUCGUGAGACAGUUCGGUCCCUAUCCGGCGUGGGCGUAGGAUAUCUGAGAGGAGCUGUCCUUAGUACGAGAGGACCGGGAUGGACUGACCUCUGGUGCAUCGGUUGAGCCACCAGGCUCAUGGCCGAGUAGCCAAGUCGGGACGGGAUAAACGCUGAAGGCAUCUAAGCGUGAAGCCCCCCUCAAGAUGAGAUAUCCCAUAGAGUAAUCUAGUAAGACCCCUUGAAGACGACGAGGUAGAUAGGCAGAAGGUGGAAGUGUGGUGACAUAUGGAGCUGAUCUGUACUAAUAGGUCGAGGGCUUAACU